CCUACGGGUGGCAGCAGUGGGGAAUAUUGCACAAUGGGGGAAACCCUGAUGCAGCGACGCCGCGUGAGCGAUGAUGUAUUUCGGUCUGUAAAGCUCUAUCAGCAGGGAAGCAAAUGACGGUACCUGACUAAGAAGCCCCGGCUAACUAGUUGCCAGCAGCCGCGGUAAUACGUAGGGGGCAAGCGUUAUCCGGAUUUACUGGGUGUACAGGGAGCGUAGACGGCGGUGCAAGCCAGAUGUGAAAGCCCGGGGCUCACCCCCGGGACUGCAUUUGGAACUGUGCUGCUGGAGUGUCGGAGAGGCAGGCGGAAUUCCUAGUGUAGCGGUGAAAUGCGUAGAUAUUAGGAGGAACACCAAUGGCGAAGGCGGCCUGCUGGACGAUGACUGACGUUGAGGCUCGAAAGCGUGGGGAGCAAACAGGAUUAGAUACCCGAGUAGUC
rnacentral:rRNA from 1 species